UACGGAGGGAGCUAGCGUUGUUCGGAAUUACUGGGCGUAAAGCGCGCGUAGGCGGCCUAUCAAGUCAGGGGUGAAAGCCCGGGGCUCAACCCCGGAACUGCCUUUGAAACUAGUAGGCUAGAAUCUUGGAGAGGUCAGUGGAAUUCCGAGUGUAGAGGUGAAAUUCGUAGAUAUUCGGAAGAACACCAGUGGCGAAGGCGACUGACUGGACAAGUAUUGACGCUGAGGUGCGAAAGCGUGGGGAGCAAAC
rnacentral:rRNA from 1 species